CCUACGGGUGGCAGCAGUGAGGAAUAUUGGUCAAUGGACGAGAGUCUGAACCAGCCAAGUAGCGUGAAGGAUGACUGCCCUAUGGGUUGUAAACUUCUUUUAUAUGGGAAUAAAAUGUUCCACGUGUGGGAUUUUGUAUGUACCAUAUGAAUAAGGAUCGGCUAACUCCGUGCCAGCAGCCGCGGUAAUACGGAGGAUCCGAGCGUUAUCCGGAUUUAUUGGGUUUAAAGGGAGCGUAGGUGGAUUGUUAAGUCAGUUGUGAAAGUUUGCGGCUCAACCGUAAAAUUGCAGUUGAAACUGGCAGUCUUGAGUACAGUAGAGGUGGGCGGAAUUCGUGGUGUGGCGGUGAAAUGCUUAGAUAUCACGAAGAACUCCGAUUGCGAAGGCAGUUCACUGGACUGCAACUGACACUGAGGCUCGAAAGUGUGGGUAUCAAACAGGAUUAGAUACCCGUGUAGUC
rnacentral:rRNA from 1 species